UUUCCGUAAGUGAACCUGCGGAGGGAUCAUUACAGAGUUCAUGCCCUACCGGGUAGAUCUCCCACCCUAUGUUAUUAUUACUUUGUUGCUUUGGCGGGCCGUUAGGCUCCGGCCCGACUACCGGCCCCGGCUGGUAAGCGCCCGCCAGAGGACCCAAAACCCUGAAUAUUAGUGUCGUCUGAGUACUAUAUAAUAGUUAAAACUUUCAACAACGGAUCUCUUGGUUCUG
rnacentral:misc_RNA from 1 species